rnacentral:rRNA from 1 species
UCGAGGAUCUUCGGCAAUGGGCGAAAGCCUGACCGAGCGACGCCGCGUGUGCGAUGAAGGCCUUCGGGUUGUAAAGCACUGUCGAGGGGGAGAAAGGCCGCAAGGCUUGAUCGACCUCUGGAGGAAGCUCGGGCUAAGUUCGUGCCAGCAGCCGCGGUAAGACGAACCGAGCGAACGUUAUUCGGAAUCACUGGGCUUAAAGGGUGCGUAGGCGGGCUCGUGAGUCAGGGGUGAAAUCCCACGGCCCAACCGUGGAAGUGCCUCUGAUACCGCGGGCCUAGAGGGGGACAGGGGCAUGCGGAACUUCCGGUGGAGCGGUGAAAUGCGUAGAUAUCGGAAGGAACACCGGUGGCGAAAGCGGCGUGCUGGAUCCCUACUGACGCUGAGGCACGAAAGCCAGGGGAGCAAACGG